AGUGAAUGCUGGCGGUAGGCCUAACACAUGCAAGUCGAACGGCAGCACAGUAAGAGCUUGCUCUUACGGGUGGCGAGUGGCGGACGGGUGAGGAAUACAUCGGAAUCUACUUUUUCGUGGGGGAUAACGUAGGGAAACUUACGCUAAUACCGCAUACGACCUACGGGUGAAAGCAGGGGAUCUUCGGACCUUGCGCGAUUGAAUGAGCCGAUGUCGGAUUAGCUAGUUGGCGGGGUAAAGGCCCACCAAGGCGACGAUCCGUAGCUGGUCUGAGAGGAUGAUCACCCACACUGGAACUGAGACACGGUCCAGACUCCUACGGGAGGCAGCAGUGGGGAAUAUUGGACAAUGGGCGCAAGCCUGAUCCAGCCAUACCGCGUGGGUGAAGAAGGCCUUCGGGUUGUAAAGCCCUUUUGUUGGGAAAGAAAAGCAGCAGGUUAAUACCCCGCUGUUCUGACGGUACCCGAAGAAUAAGCACCGGCUAACUUCGUG
rnacentral:rRNA from 1 species